rnacentral:rRNA from 1 species
UACGAAGGUGGCAAGCGUUACUCGGAAUUACUAGGCGUAAAGGGCAGGUAGGUGGUUUGAUAAGUCUGUUGUGUAAGCUCUCGGCUUAACUGGGAGAGGUCAACGGAUACUAUCAGGCUUGAGUAUAGGAGAGGGUACUGGAAUUCCCGGAGUAGCGGUGAAAUGCGCAGAUAUCGGGAGGAACACCAGUGGCGAAGGCGGUGGCCUGGACCGAUGCUGACGCUGAGGCGCGAAAGCGUGGGGAGCGAGUCCGG